rnacentral:rRNA from 1 species
AACAAACGCUGGCGGCGUGCCUAAUACAUGCAAGUCGAACGGGGAAAGCUUUCGGGUGAGUACUAGUGGCGCACGGGUGAGGAACGCGUGGAUAAUCUGCCUUAGAGUGGGGGAUAACUAGUCGAAAGAUUAGCUAAUACCGCAUAAGACCACAGGAGCUGCGGCUCAAGGGGUCAAAGGUUUUUCGCUCUAAGAUGAGUCCGCGUAAGAUUAGCUAGUUGGUGAGGUAACGGCUCACCAAGGCGACGAUCUUUAACUGGUCUGAGAGGAUGAUCAGGCACGCGGGAACUGAGACACGGUCCAGAGUCCUACGGGAGGCAGCAGUAGGGAAGAUUGCACAAUGGAGGAAACUCUGAUGCAGCGACGCCGCGUGAGUGAUGAAGGCCUUCGGGUCGUAAAGCUCUGUCGCAGGGGAAUAACACAAUGAAUGUACCCUGUAAGAAAGGAUCGGCUAACUUCGUGCCAGCCGCCGCCGUAAUAC